GUGGGUAUAGCUCAGUGGUAGAGUGCAUGUUUAGUAUGCACGAGGCCCUGGGUUCAAUCUCCAAUAACUCCA
rnacentral:tRNA from 1 species